AACGAACGCUGGCGGCGUGCCUAACACAUGCAAGUCGAGGGAGAAAAGGGGCUUCGGCUCCUGAGUAAACCGGCGCACGGGUGAGUAACACGUAGGUAACGUACCCUUGAGUCUGGGAUAACCAGUCGAAAGACUGGCUAAUACCAGAUACGACUGCGGGAGCUCAGGCUUCUGCAGUGAAAGAUGGCCUCUACUUGUAAGCUAUCACUCAUGGAUCGGCCUGCGCACCAUUAGCUAGUUGGUGAGGUAAAGGCUCACCAAGGCUGAGAUGGUUAGCUGGUCUGAGAGGAUGGCCAGCCACACUGGGACUGAGACACGGCCCAGACUCCUACGGGAGGCAGCAGUGGGGAAUAUUGCGCAAUGGGCGAAAGCCUGACGCAGCGACG
rnacentral:rRNA from 1 species